rnacentral:lncRNA from 1 species
UUGUUAUCAACUCAAAAAAAAAAUUGAGCAUUUGAUCCAAGAAAGGAGGCUGUAUCAGUUCAUCCAAUGAUAAGGUCCUCUGCAUCGAUGUUUUCCAAGGGCUGGACAGCAGCAGCGAAGAUAUUUUGCGCUUCAGCAAUGAUAGUACUAGCCCCCUCAGCCUCAAUUGGCUCCAGCGCAACCAUAGAUGGAGGGAUAGAUGGUAGUAGA